rnacentral:lncRNA from 1 species
CAGAGGAAAGAGCAGGAGGAUAGAAAAGAAGGGAGAGCCUAAGAGGUGGGCAGAUGGAAAAGGAGUGAGGGAAGAAAGAAGAGCAGAAGAGUAGAGCCAAUGCAGAAGAAAGAGGAGUGAGGAAGCAGGGAAACAUACAGCAGAAGAGAAAAGCAGAUGCAGGUGAAAGAGCAGUGGUGAGAUGCAAUGGAAACCAUCAGAAGAGUGAGGAUACAAGGAGGAAAGAACAGAAGAGGAGCACAGCUGCCCGAGAAUGAGCAGUGAGAAUACAGGGAAGAAAGAGGAGGAGGAGAGCAGAUGCAGAAGAAAAGAGACGUCACGUUACAGGGAAGAAAAGCAGGGCAGAUGAAGUACGGAGAGGAAGCAGGGGAAAAAAACGCUGAAGAGCAAGGAUAGAGAUGAAAGAGCAGUGAGGAUACACAGAGGAUAGAACAGCAGAAGAGAAGCAGAAGAGAAAAAACAGGAAAAGAGUGAGAAUGCAGACGGAAAAGCAGGGAGAAUACAGGGAAGAACCAAGAGCAUAAGAGAAGUGCAAAUGCAAAAGCAAGCGAGGCUACAGGGAAGAAAGGACAGCAGAAGGGGAGUGCAGGUGCAGAUCCCCCAAACACAGCACUCCCUGCCCGCUAGGGUUGCGGGUGCGACGCAGUCACCACAAUGACGUCGAGGAUCAAUGCCGGGUAAUUCAGUGAGCGUUCCAACAAAGAAUCAAGGAAAAAACUGCCAGGCAAAACUAAGAAACCUUCUGGCAACAGGUCUUCAACGUUACGCGUAGAGUCCUUUGGAACAGGAGUUGUUUCUGUGUCAACAACUUGAAGAUCAAAUCAGGCAACGGCUACGAAAGAAAAACGAGUCACAUAACAUGGAGAGCAAAGAAGAGAAGAGAGAGGAAACAGAGAGGUGCCAGCACUGCCGCCCGGGGUGGGCAGCAGGCUGCUGGUGCCAGCGUCAUCAUGGGCGGCGGCCAGCACUGGCCACGCUGUCACCGCGUCGCCG